GAAUUUUAUAUUAUUUAUUUUUUAUUUAUAUUAUAUUAAAAAUAAUUUAAUAUUUAGUUGGGAGGACUAUUAAAUAUAAUAAACUUUAAAAAUAUUAAAAACUUUAAUUAAAGAUUUAUAAAAUAAAAGAUUGAUAUUAAUAUUAUAUUAGAUUAAAUUACCUUAGGGAUAACAGCGUUAUAUUUUUAGAAAGAUCAUAUUUAUAGAAAUGUUUGC
rnacentral:rRNA from 1 species